GACAAACCUGGGUUUGGGUUCUGGCUCUGCUGGUUGUAUAUCUUUACUUAAUGAAGCCCCACAGGUGCAACUGGCGGGGGACUGACUGAGCUGGGCCAUGGAGGUUGCUGGAGAGCAGCUGAUUCUUGUUCUUUGCCUACCUUUGCUCCAAGGACCUGAGAGGAUGAUGAUCUUAUGACAGAAAACCAGUCAUGGAGUUGUCUGCUCAGGCUGUCUCCACAUCUGAAACUUCUCUUCAUGCUUUAAUCUACUACAAUCUGGUUUUCACCCUCUGUUCCACACCAGCUACUCUUGCCAAGAACAUGCACCUUUGAGGGAUGUAAUGUACAACAUGAUAAAUAUAAUCAACACUGCUGUAUGUUA